UGUAAUCUGGCACUUUUUACAAGUGUCCGAGUUGUAAUUUGUAGAACUGUUAUCCGUACUGGACCAUGUACAAGUCUGUUGAAAAGCAGCAUCAUUGAAGGUGAAAAUCCUGUAGAUGAUAUGGACUACCAGUAUAUUUGUGAUACGGUUUCUAAGAGUCGAGUUGUUUGGGAAUGCAGCUCAAAGUGGGUGGUAAAUUCCAUCUAAGGCUAAAUAUAAGUGAGAGACCGAUAGCAAACAAGUACCGUGAGGGAAAGAUGAAAAGAACUUUGAAAAUAGAGUUAACAGUACGUGAAAUUGCUGAAAGGGAAACGUUUGAAGUUAGUUUUGUAUUCGUUGGAUCAGCUUCGCAAGGAGUGUAUUCCGAUGAUAAGCAAGUCAACAUCAAUCUAUGAGUAUUGGAAAAAUGUUUUGAGAAUGUAGCAAUUUAAUUGUGUUAUAGAUCGAGACUUGACUACAAUGCUUUGGAUUGAG
rnacentral:rRNA from 1 species